GUGGGGAAUAUUGGACAAUGGGCGAAAGCCUGAUCCAGCCAUGCCGCGUGAGUGAUGAAGGCCUUAGGGUUGUAAAGCUCUUUCAGUAGGGAAGAUAAUGACGGUACCUACAGAAGAAGCCCCGGCUAACUUCGUGUCAGCAGCCGCGGUAAUACGAAGGGGGCUAGCGUUGUUCGGAUUUACUGGGCGUAAAGCGCACGUAGGCGGAUUGGUCAGUUAGAGGUGAAAUCCUGGAGCUCAACUCCAGAACUGCCUUUAAUACUGCCAGUCUAGAGGCCCGAAGAGGUGAGUGGAACUCCUAGUGUAGAGGUGGAAUUCGUAGAUAUUAGGAAGAACACCAGUGGCGAAGGCGGCUCACUGGUCUGGUACUGACGCUGAGGUGCGAAAGCGUGGGGAGCAAACAGGAUUAGAAACCCGAGUAUUCC
rnacentral:rRNA from 1 species